GGUUUCAUAGCCCAAACAGAUCCGUAUAAAUUACUAAAUCAUAGAAAUGCAUCGCAUAAGUCCGUUUGUAAUAAAAGACGCGUUGCAAUUUUCAAUAGCAUGUGGUAUAUCGUACAAUUUUUUCAGCAUUGUCUUUGACUUUAUUGAUCCACCAGACGGUGAAGAUCCAAAAGCCGAUUGUGGAUGUUGUAAUAAAUGAAAAGCGUUUGAGAAGGAGAACCAAUAAAUUAGUGUCCUAGACCAUGUUAGUGACCAUUCCCAUCGAGACCGGGAAAAAAAACCUCCAGCUGAUGAUAUGAAAUGAAAAAAGUAUGAGAAGGACCGAUACGAGAAUUAGCGUCAUAGCACACGUUAGUUAUUACUCCCAUCGAGACCUGGAAAAUGAUCCUCCAGACGAUGACUUCAAAUGUAAAAAAGUAUGAGAAGGACCCAACCGAUAAUUAGCGUCAUUGACCACGUUAGUGUGCACUCCCAUCGAGAUCUGGAAGAGAAACCUCCAGAUGAUGAUAUAAAAUGUAAAUAAGAAAGUAAGAGAAGAACCCAAACGAAAAUUGAUAAGUAUUGAGAGGUUGCGGUGGGGGUGGUAUGUGGUAGAAAUAUGGUGGCGUGUACAUCAAGUCUUCAAGCCCUGGAGUUAUGGGCGUACCCCGAGAUGGAACCAUAGACCGCACGGUGCCAUACAAACUCCUGUGACGUGUCUUCCCGUGAACAUUCAUCAUCACACCGAAUUCACACUGGCUCAACAGUUUUGCACGAUUACACGAUUCACGUUAAAAAAUAGCUUUGUAAAAACUGCACGGUAAUAAAAUGGGUCACAUCGACCCUUUAGUUAAGACAGCGAAACUCAACCUUAAAGUACAACUUAAUUUUUAUGAAAUAAAAAAUAAGCUACCGAACUAUUGUUUUUUUUUUUAUAAGUAACGAGGUUGUCUAACAGAUAAAUAUUUUUUUUAAAUAUUAAGAUCUUUAGUUCCCCGUUUUGUGAACGUAGAUUGGUGGCUAGACGCGAGCGGCCAGUGUUGUCACUGUUUCAGGUUUAGAGCGUGAUUCGCUGGAGAAUGCAUUGUUCUAUCGUGAACACGUUACAUCUAAUUAUCAUAGUUUAUCUGCUUUUUCCAAUAGGGUACGUGGAGCGCGACGUAUCGACAUACUG